UCUCCGUAGGUGAACCUGCGGAGGGAUCAUUACAGAGUUCAUGCCCUACCGGGUAGAUCUCCCACCCUAUGUUAUUAUUACUUUGUUGCUUUGGCGGGCCGUUAGGCUCCGGCCCGACUACCGGCCCCCGGCUGGUAAGCGCCCGCCAGAGGACCCAAAACCCUGAAUAUUAGUGUCGUCUGAGUACUAUAUAAUAGUUAAAACUUUCAACAACGGAUCUCUUGGUUCUG
rnacentral:misc_RNA from 1 species